rnacentral:lncRNA from 1 species
AGUCCUUGGCCGUCUCGCGGCCGCUGACGAACUGGAACUCGUUGGGCGUGAGCCACUCGCCGCGGUGGCGGAUGGACGGGCCCUUGCUGCCCUGGCAGAGUUUGCGCACGUAGAGCAGCGCGCGGUUGGCGCCGCACUCCACCUCGAUGCACGGCUCGCCGUUGUCCAGCAGCGGCUGGAAAUCCGGGGCCGCGGCCGCGGUGGCCGAGAAGCGCUCGAGGGCCAGCGGGUCCCUGGGCAGGUGGAGGUGCGGGGCGGCCUC